CCUACGGGUGGCAGCAGUGGGGAAUAUUGCACAAUGGGGGAAACCCUGAUGCAGCGACGCCGCGUGAGUGAAGAAGUAAUUCGUUAUGUAAAGCUCUAUCAGCAGGGAAGAAAAUGACGGUACCUGACUAAGAAGCCCCGGCUAAAUACGUGCCAGCAGCCGCGGUAAUACGUAUGGGGCAAGCGUUAUCCGGAUUUACUGGGUGUAACGGGAGCGUAGGCGGCCUGGCAAGCCUGAUGUGAAAUACCGGGGCCCAACCCCGGGGCUGCAUUGGGAACUGCCAGGCUUGAGUGCCGGAGAGGCAGGCGGAAUUCCUAGUGUAGCGGGGAAAUGCGUAGAUAUCAGGAGGAACACCGGUGGCGAAGGCGGCCUGCUGGACUGCGACUGACGUUGAGGCCCGAAAGCGUGGGGAGCAAACAGGAUUAGAUACCCGAGUAGUC
rnacentral:rRNA from 1 species